rnacentral:rRNA from 1 species
AACGACGCUGGCGGCAUGCCUAACACAUGCAAGUCGAACGAGACCUUCGGGUCCAGUGGCGCACGGGUGCGUAACGCGUGGGAACCUGCCUUUAGGUUCGGAAUAACUCAGAGAAAUUUGAGCUAAUACCGGAUAAUGUCUUCGGACCAAAGAUUUAUCGCCUUUAGAUGGGCCCGCGUUGGAUUAGCUAGUUGGUGGGGUAAAGGCCUACCAAGGCGACGAUCCAUAGCUGGUCUGAGAGGAUGAUCAGCCACACUGGGACUGAGACACGGCCCAGACUCCUACGGGAGGCAGCAGUGGGGAAUAUUGGACAAUGGGCGAAAGCCUGAUCCAGCAAUGCCGCGUGAGUGAUGAAGGCCUUAGGGUUGUAAAGCUCUUUUGCCCGGGAUGAUAAUGACAGUACCGGGAGAAUAAGCUCCGGCUAACUCCGUG